UGCCAGCAGCCGCGGUAAGACGGAGGGGGCUAGUGUUAUUCGGAAUGACUGGGCGUAAAGGGCAUGUAGGCGGUAAAUUAAGUUGGAAGUGAAAUCCCAAAGCUUAACUUUGGAAGUGUUUUCAAAACUGGUUUACUUGAGUUCGAUAGAGGAUAGUGGAAUUUCUAGUGUAGAGAUAGAAUUCAUAAAUAUUAGAAGGAACACCAGUGGCGAAGGCGACUAUCUGGAUCGAUACUGACGCUGAGAUGCGAAAGCAUGGGGAGCAAACAGGAUUAGAUA
rnacentral:rRNA from 1 species